GUCAUUUGAGGUUGAUGGGGGGUCACUAUGAGGAUGUGGGAGUCAUUGUGAGGUGAUGGGAACUAUUGUAAGGUGACCAGGGUUAGCUACUAUGAUGCUGUCGGGGGUCACUGAGAAUUGAUGGAGUCACCAUGAGGUGAUGGGGUCACUAUGGUGAUGUGGUAACAAUCAUUUCCUCUCUUUGGCAUGUGAAAUUGGAGCCUAUCUUUGAUGAACGUCAUCUUCACCACAACUACACAGAAUUAAGCAAUUGAGUGAUUUUGAUUGACGUGGAAGAGUCUUCACUUCCAACACUGUGGAAAUCUCUGAGUCAAGUUGGGGAUAUCUAGUCCUGUUCUCUGGUGAGCAGAUGCCUGUGUGGGCUUCAUGGGUUGCACAUCCAAGACUUGCGUCAAGGAUGGAAUCACCUGGGACAGAAAACUUCUGUGC
rnacentral:lncRNA from 1 species